GAAGUCCAAGAAGAUGUAUCUGAAAGCAGUAGUACUGUGACUGCAGAACAAAAGCCAUUUACCCUAAUCCCUUUAAAAGCUGAGCCUCUGGACCUUAGCACAGAUGAAUCUAAGUGCCAUUUUAUCUCAUACUGAGAUAAAGCCAUUAAAAACAGCCAUACCUCAGUGGUAUCCAGUGAGGCUACUGGAGCCAGAGAAGCUUCCUGUCCAGAAGCAGUUCUGUUCUCUUUGGCAAAGCAGCUGCUUGCGGCACGCAGAAAUGAAACAGAAGCCAUCUGAGCAGAGUGCUGCUGACCAUGCUGUGAGCAGCCCUCACCCUGCCACAUCCCCAGCCCUCUCUCAGCCUCCCUGGAGAGGCAGGGCUGUCAGCAACCUGCUUGCCGACCCUUUCUUUACAAGUUCCAGCUCCUCUGGCAGGUUAGACUACCUUCACUCAGACACAAAGUGAUGGUGAAAAAUCUGUGCAUUUUAAGAACCAGACAAAAUCUUCCUGAAUCAUGCACUGUCCCUUUAUCCCUCGUAGAACAGCAGAGUUUCAGUAGUAAAAGGUGAAUCUAGCUUAGGAGUCUGAAAUAGUAAUUUAGAGGAAAGUUUGGCUGUUUUUAUGGUUUUUACAUUUCUAAAUACCUACUGCCAUUGUCAUGCUUGCCCUGGUUCAAAGGACUGCAGUUGCUGACAGAAAGAGAACUUUGGCUGCAGAUGUUCAGGGGAGGGUUCAUAUCACCUGUGGGUGCUUUUCUUCAUCGAUACUCUCUCUGCUGUCGAACAUGUAUUACUCCACUGGACAGAAUCUUACCAACCUUCUUUGGUUUAAAAAGUCACAGGAAACAAUCCUGGGUGGAUUCCCUAUCAGGACUUUGAAUAUCUGCUGUUACUUGAAACUGCCUGAUCUGGGAUCCAUUAAAGAGGAGCCCAAGCCAGGGAGCAGUGGUAUGGCACCAAACACUCAGGAGCAAGGCCACAAGAAUCUAACCCAACUGUGCAAGAAAACCUUCAUUAAUAAUAUCCACAGUAAUUAUGUCUGAAACUUUUUCCACUCUCUCUAAACAAGGGGUAACUAAUUUGAGAUAGAUAGCAAUAACU
rnacentral:lncRNA from 1 species